rnacentral:rRNA from 1 species
AAGUCGUAACAAGGUCUCCGUAGGUGAACCUGCGGAGGGAUCAUUACAAGAACGCCCGGGCUUCGGCCUGGUUAUUCAUAACCCUUUGUUGUCCGACUCUGUUGCCUCCGGGGCGACCCUGCCUUCGGGCGGGGGCUCCGGGUGGACACUUCAAACUCUUGCGUAACUUUGCAGUCUGAGUAAACUUAAUUAAUAAAUUAAAACUUUUAACAACGGAUCUCUUGGUUCUGGCACCGAUGAAGAACGCAGCGAAAUGCGAUAAGUAAUGUGAAUUGCAGAAUUCAGUGAAUCAUCGAAUCUUUGAACGCACAUUGCGCCCCCUGGUAUUCCGGGGGGCAUGCCUGUUCGAGCGUCAUUUCACCACUCAAGCCUCGCUUGGUAUUGGGCAACGCGGUCCGCCGCGUGCCUCAAAUCGUCCGGCUGGGUCUUCUGUCCCCUAAGCGUUGUGGAAACUAUUCGCUAAAGGGUGUUCGGGAGGCUACGCCGUAAAACAACCCCAUUUCUAAGGUUGACUUCGGAUCAGGUAGGGAUACCCGCUGAACUUAA